AGAAGAUAGGGAGCCAUCGCCGUUGCUGCUGAACCAGUCGAAGAUUCUGGCCGAGCUUCUGCCGCUCGAAACCAACUGCCGUCGCCGAAAAAAGCGCUGUCGUCAAGUCGCCGUCGCUGGAAUUCGUCGCCACCACCACCAUUAGAGAUGAAUCUAGUUGUUCUCUUACUACCGGAGAGUUGUUUUUGCGUUUGAUUCCAUCAAAUUAAAAUCUAUUGUUGUUGCUGUGAGCGUAAUCAAAGUUGGUGAUGCUGCCAUCGUCUCGGUUGUGAUGGAAUCGCCACUGCUGCUGUUAGUUUAGACUAAGCGGGACUGUUGUGUUAAAUAACGCGAUUGCGACAUCGAGAGUGGCGCAGCCGGAAGCGUGACAUUCUGAUAAUUAGGGUGUUACAUCUUU